rnacentral:rRNA from 1 species
GGUGGGGAUGACGUCAAGUCCUCAUGGCCCUUAUGGUAGGGCUUCACACGUCAUACAAUGGUCGGUACAGAGGUUGCCAAGCCGCGAGGUGGAGCCAAUCCCUUAAAGCCGAUCGUAGUCCGGAUCGUAGUCUGCAACUCGACUACGUGAGGUCGGAAUCGCUAGUAAUCGCAGAUCAGCAUGCUGCGGUGAAUACGUUCCCGGGUCUU